GCUCCAUGUCAUCGUACCGCUUCUCGAGCAGCCACUUGCACAUGUACCUCACGUACGCCUCCGCGCAGUUCAUAUCGUCCUCUAGAUCGGCGAAAGCUAACUCAGGCUCCACCAUCCAGAACUCGGCGAGAUGUCUCGACGUGUGAGAGUUCUCCGCUCGAAAAGUAGGACCGAACGUGUACACGUCGCUCAGACCGCAAGCGUAGGUUUCCACUUGUAAUUGACCUGAGACCGUCAAGAAAGCUUGACGGCCGAAGAAAUCUUGAGUAUAAUCAAUCUUUCCAUCGAGUUUAGGCAAUCCAGGUUUGAGCCUUGACCUCUCUUCGGUCCUGGAUAAGCUCGCUUUUGCUUCGUUGAGUUCAGCAACGGAGGCUGUGAUCGUUUCCUUGCUUGCUUUAGCGGAUUUGAGCUGCGCUACGGCUUCGCCUCUCGCCUUGACGAUGAGUCUGGCGGCUUCGACGUCGGCCUCGGUGGGUGGAGGGUUUUCGAUGAGGUCUCUCUCCAGCUUCUCGGUGUGGCUGAUGAGAGUUGUUACUUGGAACAUCUCUCCAGCUCCUUCGCAGUCGCUUGUUGUGAUGAUUGGGGUUUGAAUGUAGAGGAAACCUUCUUCGUCGAAGAAUGUGUGUGUGGCUAUAGCGAGUGCGUGUCGGAUUCUUGCAAUUGCUGAGAUCUGAAAAACACAGGGAAACAAAAAACAGGACAAUUCACUUAAACCUAACUUUCUGAUCAAGUAAUCAUUUUUCGAAUAAGGCUGUAAAUGUAACCAUCGUCACUCAACCGUAAAGACGAUUAAGAGAUCUGAAACCACAAGGAAGCAAAAACAGGAGACUCUACUUAAACCUAACUGAAAUCAAAUAACUUUCUGAUCAAGUAAUCAUUUUAGACUAAGGAUGCAAAGAAUCUGUAAUCAUCAAUGAAACUGAGGCCAACAAAGACAGACACUCCACUCAAACCUAAUUGAAAUCAAAUAACUUUCUGAUCAAGUAAUCAUUUUCCACUAAGGCUGCAAAGAAUAGGUAAUCAUGAGCGUCACUGAGGCUAGCAAAAACAGGACACACCGCUCAAACCUAAUACUAUAAUCAAAUAACUUUCUGAUCAAGUAAUAGUUUUUUUCGAUUAGGGCUGUAAAUGAAUCUCUAGUAAUCGUCACUGAGGCUACGAAAGCUAGAAGAAUCUCAAUAACUAAACCCUAAACCCAUGAACACUCCACUCAACUCAAACCUAACUUUCUGAUCAAGAAAUCAUUUUUUGAUUAGAUCUGUACAUAAUCUCAAUAACUAAACCAAUCCCAUAACAUAUUCGAACAAAGUAAGUGAUCUUUAUUACCGAAUUGGUCCUAGAACGAAGAUGAGGAAACUCUCUCAACCUCUCAAGAGUCAGCUUCGUCUUAGGAAUCGGGUAAGUAGCAGUAUCAACCGUCCCCACAUCAAUCACCUCCACAACACUAAGCUCAACCUUCUGCUUCGUCCCUUUACCUUCGGGAGGAAUCUUCAAGCACCCAUCGACGGUCACGCAAGUCCCCGUCGCAACCAGCUUGGUGAGAUCUGAAACCGAAGCGUCCACCAUAACCUGAAGAUUCGCAGGGCACGAUCCGUCGUUAACCUCGAGGAAAGCGAAAGCGCCUUUCCCUUGCUCCCUCCCCGUUUUGACCCACCCGCUGAUUCGGACCUUUUGACCCGCGAGUCCGGCUCCGCCGUCGGGUCGGCCCAGAAUCGAGCGGAUGCGGACUCGGUCUGAGAACCGCGCUUUUUGCACUGUUGAAGAUGAGAUUCCAUCGCUGGAUAUGGAUACGGCGGGUACUUGAUGUGCCGGUGGUGGAACCUCGUCGGCCAUGAGUUUGGGGGCGCUGGAGACAGAACCCUAGAACAGCUAAGCAAGAACAUAACGUGAAGGGGUAUGAUUGGAAAUUAACACCCCGCGGAUUCUAGUGGUUGUGGUUUGUAAUUUCGUAUCAUAAGAUUCUUAAACAAUUAGUUUACUAAUCUUUCCACCUCCAUAUAAAAUAUUCGUAAGAUAAUCAAAUUACUAUAGCUGGUUAAUGUUUCGUUUUUUUUUAAUAAAUUCUUGUAUUUGUUUAUGAUUUGUAUAUUAUAUAAAUAAAUAAAAUAUGAUGUUGAGUUCUAUUAUAUUAUCUUCGGUGUUCAAAAAAGAAGAAGAUAAUAUGAUUUCAAAUAUGAUAGUUAGGUCGGUAACAUUGUAGAACAAUUGUUUAAAAUAUUUUAAGUUGGUUAGCAAUUUUCACACCUGCACAAAAAAAAAAUGAAGAGAAUCAAACAACUCGAAUAAACAAAAGACUCACCCAAUAUCUAACGUACCUGGCCAUCGUGACCACGUAACGUUGUAUUCAAUUAUGAUGCAUCUUAUUUUUUUCCCUCAGGAUAAUAAAAUUUAAGAAGUUUCAAGGUGUAUUGGGACGUCGUCAAAAGUCAACCACAUGCCUCCAUAGGACUUCCAAAAUAACAGAAUAAUUUCCCAGGCAUCACGGUCAUCGUAUCAGUAAGAGAACGAUAUUAAUUCUCCCUUAUCAUUUAUUAGAAACAUUUUUGUUGUCAUCUUCUUCUUGACUUUUCCAACCAAAAUACAUCCUCCCGUCUGUUCUUUUUUUUUCUGGUCAACACACUCUUGAUCAUUUAUGGGUGAAACAAGAUCCAUGAUCACGUUCUUCUUGUUGGUGACCUUCCUACAGAUCAUCUUCCUAGCUCACGGAGCAGCAGGAGAGACGACCACAGAGUUCAUUUUUCAAGGCUUUAAAGUAAACCAAUCAAAGCUUCAAUUAGAAGAAGAUGCAACCAUCACGCCCAACGGACUACUAAGGCUAACCAAUCGAAACUCAGACCGCGCGGGAACGGCUUUUUACAACAAACCGGUUAGACUGCUCGACAAUAACUCCACGGUUCGUUCUUUUAGCACUUCCUUCAUCUUUGUCAUCAUCCCUUCAAGCUCAAACAACGGAGGUUUCGGGUUUACAUUCACACUAUCCCCAACCCCAAACCGUCCAGACGCGGAGACCGCGCAGUACUUGGGUCUUCUCAACGAAGACGACGACGGUGAUCCGGAUAAUCACGUAUUCGCAGUGGAGUUCGACACGGUUCAAGGAUACAAAGACAGCACAGAUCGAAUAGGCAACCACAUCGGUCUAAAUUUCAACAGUCUCUCUUCACAAAUUGUGGGCUUUACUGCUAUUUAUAAGUUCUAUCGUUACCCCGACAGGUUAAGGAUGCGACUCAGCCAGGUAUAAAAAUAUAUACCUCAAUGAUCUCAGUUCUUUUUGCAUUCUUUUGAGUUGACUUGUUGCGCUGAUUCUUCGUUUUGAUUCCAGAUCCUGGUCCUGCCUUCCUUCCAAGGAAAAGGAUUUGGAAGCUACCUCAUGGAGAUUGUAAACAAAAUGGCCGUAUCAGAAAACGUUUACGAUCUAACAGUGGAAGAGCCAUCCGAAAAGUUCCAGCACAUCCGCACUUGCAUAGACAUAAACCGCUUGCUCGCUUUCGAUCCAAUCAAACCGGCCAUCGAUUCAGCUGUUGAGACUCUCACAAAAGGAAAGCUAUCGAAGAAAGCUCAGAUACCUCGCUUCACUCCACCUUCGGAUGCCGUCGAGAAGGUCCGUGAAGCUCUGAAGAUCAACAAGAAACAGUUCCUCAAAUGCUGGGAGAUCUUGAUAUAUCUCGCGCUUGAUCCUAUCGACAAAUACAUGGAGGAUUACGCAUGUGUCAUCACGAACCAUGUGAGAAUCGAUAUUCUUGGAAAAGAUAUAGAGGCUCCAAAGAAGCAGGUGGUGGAUGUUCCAACGACGUUCGAAGCUGAAGCAUCGUUUGUGGUUUUCAAGUGUGUGAAUGGAGAAGAAGCUAAUAACAGCAAUGUUCAAGUGGAUGAAAACAAACCGGAUCAAGAGCAGCAGCUGAAGCAAUUGGUUGAAGAAAGGAUUCGUGAGAUCAAGUUGGUUGCUGAGAAAGUCUCUAGAAAAUGAGAAUCUGAGUUGAAUAAAAACUUUGAGAGAGAUAUUUAUCAGAAGCUUUUUUGUUGAGUGUUCAAACUCUGUGGUCUUUAAAAAGACAAAUCUGUUUGUAUUCUCUUUGUACCGGUUUGUUACGGAGGUUUGAGUAAACAGUGUAGUUCCGGUUUAGCGGUUUCGUUCGGUUAUGCAACUAUUAGCACAAUUUACAUUCAUACCCGUAGUAAAUGUUUGAGGGCAAUUUCUUAAGUUUUCCUGUAGUGUAGCUGUUGAGUUACGUGCUGGGCCUUUAAUGGGCUCAAAACUUCUAAGGGCGUGAGAGGUUAAUGCUACAUGCUAACUAUAAUGGCACACACACUCAGCCCACUAAAGCCCAUAUAAAUCAUCUAGGUUUAGUUCAGUGUAGCAUAUAAAAUGCUUACUUCUCCCCCUUCUACGCCUUUCUGUCUGUCGACGUUCUUCAAGCCGCAAAGGUACUCUCUCUCGAGCUCAAUUCUUAGUUCUAUGAUCGUUAUAAUCUAGCAGUUUACAGAUCUGUUUAGUUUCCCGAUAAGUGAAUCUACUUAUAAGUGGUAUUUGAUAGGUAAGAGUUUGAAGAAGUACAAACACAGACGAAAGAGAAAAUGUCUGAGAAAAAGGGAAGGAAAGAGGAAGUGGUGACCAGAGAGUACACCAUCAACCUCCACAGACGCCUUCAUAGCUGGUUAGCUUUCUUAAAAACCUUAAUCUCUUCUACGACUGUUCAUGUUGUAGCUGCCUGAUUGUUCAAGUACAUAGUGUUUGUAAUGUGAUCGUCUCUUCCUGCCAUAUUAUAGUUAGGAAUCUUCUUGGACUUCUUGUGGGUUAUUUAAUUAGUGUCUAAAGUUUUAUCCUUUUCUAAAUGUAAAUCAUAUGUUAGGCCUUAAAAAUAAAUCUUUUUCAAAUUCAUUACAUUCAUAAAAAAUGUUGUUUAUGAUAUGGUGAAAAUUAGUAGCAAGCUUCUUUGGCUUACUUUUCGAAACUCAGUUUUGCAAUUGAAUUCACAUUGAAAUGUUGUUUAUAAUAAUCAUAUUCCAUGUGUUCAAUCUUGUUUCAGCUCGCUAUUACUGUUUUGGUGUUUCUUGAAGCAUAAUAAGUAUAACAAACACUGAAUCUUGUUCUGGUUCGGAUUCAAUUUAACCAAAUAUGAUAGUGUUGAAAUGAAAAUGUGAAUUUCAUUUUAAGAUUAGGUUUUAUUUAUCUGCUGAUUGUUUUCUUGAGAUUUAAGGUUUCCUGCUAAUACAUAAUUAAUUUUGUAACAGCACCUUUAAGAAGAAGGCACCAAAGGCCAUUAAGGAGAUCAGGAAGUUUGCAGAGAAAGCCAUGGGGACAAAGGACGUUAGAGUAGACGUGAAGUUGAACAAGCAGAUAUGGAGCAGAGGUAUCAGAGGUCCCCCGAGGAGGAUUAGGGUCCGUGUUGCACGUAAGAGAAAUGACGAUGAAGACGCAAAGGAAGAGUUUUUCUCGCUUGUCACUGUUGCUGAAAUCCCUGCCGAAGGACUCAGUGGACUCGGCACUAAGGUCAUCGAUGAGGAGGAUUGAGAGGAGAGGACUAGUCUGUCACUUAGACAAGUUUUGGUGUUUUUCUUUUAAUUUCUCGUUUUUUUUCAUUCAACAAGUCACAGAUGCAGUUUAUUGGAAAGACUCAUUUUCUAGAUCUUACGAUGAAUCUUUUUAUCUUCUGGAUUUUUUUCUUGAAAUCUCACAUUUUUAAGACGGUCCUAGUGAUAAUCAAGGUGAACCUUAGUUGUCUAUGCAAUCAAUUGAACCUAACAUUUCGUUAAACAUAUAAAUGUCAAAAAAAAAAAACAUAUAAAUGUCAAAUGAAAUAAACUUUAUGUAAUUCAAGAUACGUUCAUAGACAAGUCCGAAUCAAAAAAAUGUUUUCACUUUUCCGUAAUAAAGGAAAACAGAAGGACUCGAAAAUCAGUUCCAUGUGAUGUCAGCGUACCUUUUGAACGAAGACAUCCAUCACGCCAGGCCAGCUCUAGUUCGUUUCGCGUAUAAAAAGAAAAAGACGUCGACAGCAGGAUUCGAACCUGCGCGGGCAAAGCCCAAUUGAUUUCGAGUCAAUCUCCUUAACCACUCGGACAUAUCGACUUUUUGUAUGAUUCUCUCCUUUGACUACCUAUGAUAGUAUUGACCACAUCUGACGCUUCAAAUUAUAGAAAACCAAAAUUCUAUAAAGGCCACAACAUUUGUUUCAACUUUUCUAAGUGAUAAUAUUAUGUAAUAUGUGUUUAUGUGGCUAUCGGUCAAAAAGCUUCUUCCGCCCCCCGGUCUUGAAAUAUAAUUAAGUACUUACAUUUUUCCGGUUCGUGAAACUUAAUUUCUCCAGAUAACCGAACAAAACCAGUUCCAUGUCAUCGUAAAAUAUCCAAAUCGUUCAUUAAGCAACGUAUAAUGUAAAAUUAACCGGAACUGGUUCACAAAACCAGACCGAGCAGCAACAUAUAUAUAAAAAACAUAAAAAUGAGUUUUGUGCAAAGGUAAUCUUCUUAAAGGUCAGCUCUUCCAGGAUAGCGAGGGAAGGGAAUAACGUCUCUGAUGUUGUCCAUUCCUGUCGCAAACAGAACCAUACGCUCGAACCCAAGUCCGAACCCUGAAUGCUUCGCUGUUCCGUAACGUCUCAAGUCCAAGUACCACUCGUAUGGCUCCACUGGUAGUCCCAUCUCCUCAAUUCUGUUCAUACCAACAAAAAAAAAACACAAUCAAAGAAACAUCCAACAUUAAACAAAUUAAUUUCACUUUCACCAACCUUUCCAUGAUAACGUCAAUCCUUUCUUCCCUUUGGCUUCCACCAAUGAGUUCUCCAACCUAAUUAAAAAAGACGCCAUCAAUGUAUACUCUUCCAUGAUUAAAUGAUUCAACUUUACCUUUGGAACGAGGACAUCCAUGGCAGCAACGGUCUUCCCAUCAUCAUUAAGCCUCAUGUAGAAAGCCUUGAUUCCUUUCGGGUAGUUGUAAACAAUCAGAGGCUUCUGAAACACAACCUCUGUCAAGUACCUAUAAGAUAUGAGACAAGACAACAUUAGUAACGUUUUUUCUUGCAUUUUAAGUUGAAAAAUAGUUUUUUAACCUUUCGUGCUCAGAUGCUAAGUCGAUCCCCCACUCCACUGGGUUAACAAACUCCUUCCCUUUCCCCACAGCUUCCUCAAGCAGCUCUAUCGCUUUGGUGUACGUUAACCUACCAAACGGAGUCGACGCAACCAGCUUCAGCCUAUCGAUACACCGGCCAUUAGCUCCAUGUCAUCGUACCGCUUCUCGAGCAGCCACUUGCACAUGUACCUCACGUACGCCUCCGCGCAGUUCAUAUCGUCCUCUAGAUCGGCGAAAGCUAACUCAGGCUCCACCAUCCAGAAUUCAGCGAGAUGCCUCGAGGUGUGAGAGUUCUCUGCUCGAAAAGUAGGACCAAAAGUGUACACGUCGCUCAGACCGCACGCGUAGGUUUCCACUUGUAACUGACCUGAGACCGUUAAGAAAGCUUGGCGGCCGAAGAAGUCUUGAGUGUAAUCAAUCUUUCCAUCGAGUUUAGGUAGUCCGGGUUUGAGCUUUGACCUCUCUUCGGUUCUGGAUAAGCUCGCUUUUGCUUCGUUGAGUUCAGCAACGGAGGCGGUGAUCGUUUCCUUGCUUGCUUUAGCGGAUUUGAGGUGGGCGACGGCUUCGCCUCUCGCCUUGACGAUGAGUCUGGCGGCUUCGACGUCGGCCUCGGUGGGAGGAGGGUUUUCGAUGAGGUCUCUCUCUAGCUUCUCGGUGUGGCUGAUGAGAGUUGUUACUUGGAACAUCUCUCCAGCGCCUUCGCAGUCACUUGUUGUGAUGAUUGGGGUUUGAAUGUAGAGGAAACCUUCUUCGUCGAAGAAUGUGUGUGUGGCUAUAGCGAGAGCGUGUCGGAUUCUUGCAAUGGCUGAGAUCUGAAAAACACAGGGAAACAAAAACAGGGCAAUUAUUCAAACCUAACUUUCUGAUCAAGUAAUCAUCUUUGGUCAAGUCAGCAAAGAAACUCAGUAUCUAAAUCAAACACAGGAACAGUUUCAAUCAAAAGAAUUCUUUUUGUAUACGACAGGCGAACAUGAAUACAGGAGACUCCACUCAACCUAAUUGAAAUAAACUAACUUUCUGAUCAAUUAACCAUUCUAGACUAAGGCUGCAAAGAAUCUGUAAUCAUCAUCGUCACUGAGGCUAACAAAAACAAGACACUCCACUCCACUCAAAUCCAAUAGAGAUCAGAUAACUUUCUGCUCAAGAAAUAGCUUUUUCGAUUAGGGCUGUAACAGAAUCUGUAAUCAUCGUCACUAAAGCUAAGAAAGCUAGAAGAAUCUCAAUGACUGCAUCAAACCCAUGAACACUCGACUCCACUACACUCAAACCUAACUUUCUAAUCAAGUAAUCAUUUUUUGAUUAAGUCUCUACAUAAUCUCAAUAACUAAACCAAACCCAUAACAGAUUCAAUCAAAAGAAGUGAUCUUUAUUACCGAAUUGGUCCUAGAACGAAGAUGAGGAAACUCUCUCAACCUCUCAAGAGUCAGCUUCGUCUUCGGAAUCGGGUACGUAGCAGUAUCCACAGUCCCCACAUCAACCACCUCCACUACACUAAGCUCAACCUUCUGCUUCGUCCCUUUCCCUUCCGGAGGAAUCUUCAGACACCCAUCAACAGUCACACAAGUCCCCGUCGCAACCAGCUUGGAGAGAUCCGACACAGAGGCGUCCACCAUAACCUGAAGAUUCGCAGGGCACGAUCCAUCGUUCACCUCGAGGAAAGCGAAAGCGCCUUUCCCUUGCUCCCUUCCCGUUUUGACCCACCCGCUGAUUCGGACCUUCUGACCCGCGAGCCCGGCUCCGCCGUCGGGUCGGCCCAGGAUCGAGCGGAUGCGGACUCGGUCUGAGAACCGCGCUUUUUGCACUGUAACCUCGUCGGCCAUUUUGGUAUGAGUGGUGAUGAGUUUGGGGGCGCUGGAGACAGAACCCUAAAACAGCUAAGCAAGAACAUAACAUUUAGGGGUAUAAUUGGAAAUAUACACCCCGCAGAUUCUAGUGGUGGUGAUUUGUAAUUUCGUAGAUUCUUAAACAAUUAGCUUACGAAUCUUUCCAGCUCCAUAUAAAUAUUCGUAAAAUAAUCAAAUUGUGGGAGGAGGGUUUUCGAUGAGGUCUCUCUCUAGCUUCUCGGUGUGGCUGAUGAGAGUUGUUACUUGGAACAUCUCUCCAGCGCCUUCGCAGUCACUUGUUGUGAUGAUUGGGGUUUGAAUGUAGAGGAAACCUUCUUCGUCGAAGAAUGUGUGUGUGGCUAUAGCGAGA
rnacentral:lncRNA from 1 species